rnacentral:rRNA from 1 species
AGUGAACGCUGGCGGUAGGCCUAACACAUGCAAGUCGAACGGCAGCACAGUAAGAGCUUGCUCUUACGGGUGGCGAGUGGCGGACGGGUGAGGAAUACAUCUGCAUCUACUUUUUCGUGGGGGAUAACGUAGGGGAACUUACGCUAAUACCGCCUUCGACCUACGGGUGAACGCAGGAGAUCUUCUGACCUUGCGCGAUUGAAUGAGCCGAUGUCGGAUUAGCUAGUUGGCGGGGUAAAGGACCACCCAGGCGACGAUCCGUAGCUGGGCUGAGAGGAUGAUCAGCCACCCUGGAACUGAGACACGGUCCAGACCCCUACGGGAGGCAGCAGUGGGGAAUAUUGGACAAGGGGAGCAAGCCUGAUCCAGCCAUACCGCGUGGGUGAAGAAGGCCUUCGGGUUGUAAAGCCCUUUUGUUGGGAAAGAAAAGCAGCAGGUUAAUACCCCGCUGUUCUGAAGGUACCCAAAGAAUAAGCACCGGCUAACUUCGUG